rnacentral:rRNA from 1 species
GACGUAGGGCGCGAGCGUUGUCCGGAUUUAUUGGGCGUAAAGAGCUCGUAGGCGGCUUGUCGCGUCGACCGUGAAAACUUGGGGCUCAACCCCAAGCCUGCGAUCGAUACGGGCAGGCUAGAGUUCGGUAGGGGAGACUGGAAUUCCUGGUGUAGCGGUGAAAUGCGCAGAUAUCAGGAGGAACACCGGUGGCGAAGGCGGGUCUCUGGGCCGAUACUGACGCUGAGGAGCGAAAGCGUGGGGAGCGAACAGG